UACGGAGGGUGCAAGCGUUAAUCGGAAUUACUGGGCGUAAAGCGUGCGCAGGCGGUUUGUUAAGUCUGCUGUGAAAUCCCCGAGCUCAACUUGGGAAUUGCAGUGGAUACUGGCAGGCUGGAGUAUGGUAGAGGAAGGUGGAAUUCCCGGUGUAGCAGUGAAAUGCGUAGAGAUCGGGAGGAACACCAGUGGCGAAGGCGGCUCACUGGCUCAUUACUGACGCUCAGGCGCGACAGCGUGGGGAUCAAACAGG
rnacentral:rRNA from 1 species